rnacentral:lncRNA from 1 species
GCCCGAAACAGAAGCUAAGACAGUGGUUCUGAACCUGUGGGUCAUGACCCCUUAGUCACCUAAGACCAACUGCAGAUCAGAUAUUUACACCACGAUUUAUAUCAGUAGCAAAAUUACAGUUAGGAAGUAGCAACUACAGUAAUUUUAUUCUUGGGGUCACCACAACAUGAGGAACUGUAUUAAAGGGUGGCAGCAUUAGGAAGGUUGAGAACCACUGCUCUGAGGAGACAAAUCUCAGUAUAACUCAGGACAAAUUUCUGUUCCUUUCAAUGCACUUUAACUCCAGGGCAGCGGCAGCAGCAGCUUAUCGUACACACUGCGAAGGAUCAGGGCUGGUAUAGAUACCUGCCCUCAGUGAGCCAGCUCCUAAGGGACAGCCCUGGAACCCCUCCAGAGACGUCACAUAGACUGCUUGCAGAGAUCUUCCAACACGGGAUUCCGAUCAAUAAGUUGGGGCCCCAAGCUUCUUCAGGAAAACAGUUUUUAUUUGUGCUAGCAGAUUCAUCCAAACUUCUGUUUCAAAGAACCAAGCCCCAAAGGCUCACUAGACGGAGCCUUUUGGAUUUUGCGUCUUUGUCUCCCAUACAUGGAAGGGAAACUAAUCACCCCACAUCAUCCCCAAGACUUGUGAACGACUGCUCUUUCUGUACUGAGUACUCACAGAUGUGGAAACAGACCCACAGGGAACUCACGGGGCUAUCGGCAAUAGAGGCACCAUCAGUCCCAGCACCAAGUCCCAUCAGGGAAGUAGCCA